CUCCGUGCUUACCGGGGCCUCCCCGGCCAGCCCUCGUGGGAAUAUUGGAACAGACCAGUUGGGGAGGCGGAUGUCAGCACAAGCAGGACCACACAGGGGAGAGGAGCCCUCGGGGGCAGCAACGGUCAGGAGGGGAACAGCCCCUUGAACUGACUCGCAAGGGGCAGGGGUCUGCUGGUGGUCAUGUGGAGAACAACAGAUUCUGGACAUGCUGGCCGCUCACUGUCCUCCAGUGCUGGAGUCCUGGGCUCUGCAGGUCAGGAGCUGACAAAAGCUGGAUCCAAAUCUGGAAGGUGCCUUCAAGGGCGUGACACCUAACUGGCUGCUAUCCCUGCACCUCCCACGACAGCCUCAUGCUCCGCCGCCCCCGCGAGGAAUUUUAUGGAUGCAAAGAAGGUGGAGACAUGAAAUAAACACUUGGGUUUUAACUACGGCCAUGACCCCGUCUAGGAGCUCCGGGGCCUGGGCCUCUGGCAGGUUCUGUCCCCACCUGCCAGCCUGUGGCCAGGGCUGGUCCUCCUGCC
rnacentral:lncRNA from 1 species